rnacentral:rRNA from 1 species
AGUCGAACGGCAGCGCGGGGCAACCUGGCGGCGAGUGGCGAACGGGUGAGUAAUAUAUCGGAACGUACCCAAGAGUGGGGGAUAACGUAGCGAAAGUUACGCUAAUACCGCAUACGAUCUAUGGAUGAAAGUGGGGGAUCGCAAGACCUCAUGCUCCUGGAGCGGCCGAUAUCUGAUUAGCUAGUUGGUGAGGUAAAGGCUCACCAAGGCGACGAUCAGUAGCUGGUCUGAGAGGACGACCAGCCACACUGGAACUGAGACACGGUCCAGACUCCUACGGGAGGCAGCAGUGGGGAAUUUUGGACAAUGGGCGCAAGCCUGAUCCAGCAAUGCCGCGUGAGUGAAGAAGGCCUUCGGGUUGUAAAGCUCUUUUGUCAGGGAAGAAACGGUUGGGGCUAAUAUCCCCGGCUAAUGACGGUACCUGAAGAAUAAGCACCGGCUAACUACGUGCCAGCAGCCGCGGUAAUACGUAGGGUGCAAGCGUUAAUCGGAAUUACUGGGCGUAAAGCGUGCGCAGGCGGUUUUGUAAGUCUGUCGUGAAAGCCCCGGGCUCAACCUGGGAAUUGCGAUGGAGACUGCAAGGCUUGAAUCUGGCAGAGGGGGGUAGAAUUCCACGUGUAGCAGUGAAAUGCGUAGAGAUGUGGAGGAACACCGAUGGCGAAGGCAGCCCCCUGGGUCAAGAUUGACGCUCAUGCACGAAAGCGUGGGGAGCAAACAGGAUUAGAUACCCUGGUAGUCCACGUCCUAAACGAUGUCUACUAGUUGUCGGGUCUUAAUUGACUUGGUAACGCAGCUAACGCGUGAAGUAGACCGCCUGGGGAGUACGGUCGCAAGAUUAAAACUCAAAGGAAUUGAC